GACGAACGCUGGCGGCGUGCUUAACACAUGCAAGUCGAGCGGAGCGGCGAACGGGUGAGUAAGGCGUGAGUAACUGCCCCCCUCUCUGGGAUAACAGUUGGAAACGGCUGCUAAUACCGGAUAGUGGGGGAUGACUCGCGUCCUAUCAGCUUGUUGGGGGGGUAGUGGCCUACCAGGUCGACGACGGGUAGCCGGCCUGGGAGGUGGACCGGCCACAAUGGGCUGCGAUACGGCCCAAGCUGCUACGGGAGGCAGUAGUGGGGAAUAUUGCACAGUGAGGGAAACCCUGAUGCAGCAACGCCGCGUGCGUAAUGACGGCCUUCGGGUUGUAAACCGCUUUCAGCCAUGACGCGGUAUUGGCAGAAGAAGCACCGGCUAACUACGUGCCAGCCGCCGCGGUAAUUC
rnacentral:rRNA from 1 species